rnacentral:lncRNA from 1 species
GCAUAUGUGAAGGUGUGGCCUCAUGAAACCACAGCACACUGUAAGGAGCUACCAGCCUGCCACAAGUGGGUGUGAAGGUUGCCUAGAGGAGACUACCAGGAGAUAACACUGAAAGGGUGGAUUAGGAAAGCCCUUGUGCACCAUCUUGAACUUUACCUUGAAUGCAAUGGAGAGCUGUGAAAGGGCUUUAAGCAAGGCCCAGGCCUCACUGAAUCUGUGGUUUAGAAAGAACUCUCUGGUUACAAGAUGGAGCAUGGAUAGAAGCGAGGUUAGAAAAAAGUGAACAUCUGGACAAAAUCAGGACUCUUGACUGUAAGGAGGAAGGAAAGAAGUGGCCACUGGGUGGAGAACCAAGUGUAACUUCAUCCAACUGAAGUGUGCUAAACUUCUCUGAAAAAAGAUCAUAUAAAAUCUGGAUUUUCA